rnacentral:rRNA from 1 species
UACGUAGGGGACGAGCGUUAUCCGGAAUUACUGGGCGUAAAGGGCGCGCAGGCUGUAGAUCAAGUCAGCUGUGAAAUGUCUGGGCUUAACCCGGGCAUGCGGUUGAAACUGAUGUACUGGAGUGCUGUAGAGGCAAGUGGAAUUCCCAGUGUAGCGGUGAAAUGCGUAGAUAUUGGGAAGAACACCGGUGGCGAAGGCGACUUGCUGGGCAGCAACUGACGCUGAGGCGCGAAAGCCAGGGGAGCAAACGGGAUUAGAUA